ACUUCCGGCCGGCUCUCGGGCUCUGAGCCUGGAUAGGGCAGCGGUAGGGCAGCACCGCGGUCGGACGGCGGUUGCGCGCCUCAGAUCGGCAACCUUCCGCGCGGCGGCUUGCGUUUGAGCGUCAGAAAGCGAGGAGCGGCCUCCACGGAAGCCAGGCUGGCCGAGGUAACCGAGAAGCGGCUUCCCCCAUGGCUUAGACCCUGAAGUCGCUGGAGCGGCGGCGGCCGCAGGGAGGCAGACAUUUUCCGUAGGCGGCGGCCGCGGCGCUUCCGGGCCGCGCGGCUGGAUCCUGAGGCGGUGCCACUGUCGGGCUCGAGAAAGCAUUCUCUCCCUGCUUUUCGCAGCUAUAGUCCAGAGGCGCGGCUGAAGCUUGCUGGGACAUUGCCUGCUUGCCUAGUGCCCGGUGACACGCCUGUCGCAGACACAAGCUGUGGCGAAUCCGAGUGCUGGCGGGCAGCAGUGCCUGCAGCUGCGCCCUCAGACCCUUUACCGCCUCCGCUGGCAUUUCCGUGUGCGGCCGACGUUAUGCGGUCGGUUGAGCCUCAGGGCUAGCAGCUUCUGCUGAUGCUAAAACACAAAGUGUCUCUGUGCUUCCGGAGCCGGAGUCGGCAGCAGGGAGCUGGCCACUUCUUUGAAUACCGGUGGCAUCCUGGCCAGAAUUUCGGUGCCGUUUCUGCUGGCUUACUUAAGGAAAAGUGAGGCUCACGGCUCUCCUCAGCCCCACUUAGGAGUCUAAAUGACCUUUGGAGAAAUGUAAAGUCAGUAAAAGUUUUACUUUCAUCGUCACCAACUCCUAUUGGAGUUCAUAUUUCGUAAACAUCAGCGACAAAAAGAAAAUACGACCUGAUAUUUUGUAAAUAAAAUAUCCUUUCUUACAACGUGAUAUUUGGUAAACACAGACCAGCUGUGAUUUUCUCCAGAUCAAUGCUUUUAGGAAGAAGAUCCUUUUAUUGCUUUUGUACAAGACCAGACGGGAUCUCAUUUGUCAAACGUGGUACCAAUUGGGUGUCUUAACACAGGAACAGAACUUCCUAGAGCAGAAUGAUGAUGGUAGAUCUGAAAGUGGCUGCGUACUUGGACCCUCAGAUCAGGGCUUUGUGGGAGACCAAGGAACCUGCAAGAGAGAGCUCCGGUGAGAGUGAAAAAUCUCCUCAAAUGGACAGUCUCGAUCCUAACAGCUCUUGCUGGCACUUCCGGAACUUCACCUAUGAUGAAGCAGCUGGACCUCGUGAGGCUGUCAGCAAACUUCAAGAAUUAUGUCAUCUAUGGCUGAGGCCAGAGAUCCACUCAAAAGAGCAGAUACUGGAACUGCUGGUGCUAGAGCAGUUCCUGACUGUUCUGCCCAGGGAGACACAGACCCAGAUGCAGAAGCACCAUCCACAGAGCAUUGAGGAGGCUGUGGCUCUGGUAGAACACUUGCAGAGGGAAUCUGGUCAAACAUGGAAUGGGGUUGCAGUCCAUGAGCUGGGAAAGGAGGCAUUGCUCUUGGGAGAAACAGCAGAGGCCUCAAGUUUCAGGCUGAAGCCAGCAGAGUCCCAACCAGUGGACGUAUCCCAAGAUGAAGAAUUUUGGAAUACAUACCAGGGUCUGCAAGAACAGCUCAGCAGGAAUACUCAUAAAGAGACUGAGCCCGUGUAUGAGAGGGCUGUGCCUACUCAACAGAUUAUAGCCUUUCCUGAGCAAACACACACCAAAGACUGGACAGUGACACCUGAGCACAUCUUGCCUGAGUCCCAGCAUUGUUUGUGCUCCCCAAACCUAAAGUGAUCUCCUGUCUAGAGCAAGGGGAAGAGCCAUGGGUUCAAGUAUCCCCGGAGUUUAAGGAUAGUGCCGGAAAAUCUCCUACAGGGUUAAAGCUCAAAAAUGACACUGAAAAUCAUCAGCCUGUAUCUCUUUCUGACUUAGAAAUACAAGCAUCAACAGACAUCAUAUCAAAAAAGGCCAAAGUAAAAGUUCCCCAGAAAACAGCAGGCAAAGAAAAUCAUUUUGAUGUGCACAGAGUGGGGAAAUGGCCCCAAGAUUUUCCAGUGAAGAAAAGAAAGAAACUUUCAACCUGGAAACAAGAGCUGCUCAAACUUAUGGAUCGUCACAAGAAGGAUUGUGCAAGAGAGAAGCCUUUUAAAUGUCAGGAAUGUGGGAAAACCUUCAGAGUUAGCUCUGACCUGAUUAAGCACCAAAGAAUUCACACUGAAGAGAAACCCUAUAAAUGUCAACAGUGUGAUAAGAGGUUUAGAUGGAGUUCAGAUCUUAAUAAGCACUUAACAACACACCAAGGAAUAAAACCAUAUAAAUGUUCAUGGUGUGGGAAAAGCUUCAGUCAAAAUACAAAUUUACAUACACACCAAAGAACUCAUACAGGAGAAAAGCCCUUCACAUGUCAUGAAUGUGGAAAAAAAUUCAGUCAGAACUCCCACCUUAUUAAACACCGGAGAACCCACACAGGUGAGCAGCCAUAUACUUGCAGCAUAUGCAGGAGAAAUUUCAGCAGGCGGUCAAGCCUUCUUAGACACCAGAAACUCCACCUGUGAAGAGAAGCUUGUCCAGUGUCAUUCUGAAGACAUUCACUAAAUGGAGCUUGACACUAAAAUUUAUGUAAAACAAAAAUCACAAACCUUGAAAAAUUUUACAUCAGAAAAUGGGGGGGAUAAACAUAUGUUUCACAGAAAAUAAUCAAGACUUGGUCUGCAGCCACUCAGUAGUUUUCUGUGGUCACAGAAGUAAACAUUGUUCGUUUUGCAUUGAUCUCUCCAGUCAUUCUUGAACACAUCCAGUAGAUACAUUUGCAGCGUGGUCUUCCAAAACAAAAAGCAAUAACAUGCAUGUUUAAUUGCAUACCAUUCUCUUCACAGUAGCAGGCUUACCAAUUUCAAUAGUCUCAUGAGGCAGAAAUGAAUUACAAUAUAAAGUGUUCCAAGAAUGAAAUUGGAUUUUCUUUCUUUAGUCAUUGGACACGGUUUGCAAAGUUGAACAUCAUUUGAGUUCCUUCUUGAACAUUUUGGCAACUUCUGCUCUUGGAUCCUGUUAUCACAGUGAUGAAAUCAUGUUAACUUAACCACUAGGGAAUCUUCAGAUGAACUAUUAAUGCACUAACUUAUGUCUCUCUCAUUGGUGAUGUUGGGAAAACAGAAAACAUCUCUAGUGGAAUCAUGGGUAAACGGGUUGGAAUUUGUAGCCAUGGAACAUAAGAUGUAAAGAAUUUUCUGCAAUAAAAGAAACUAGACUUG